UCCAGGCAGGGGUGGAGCCUGGAUCGGGCUCUGAGGAGGGCUUGACCCAAGUGACCAGUGGGAGCCCUAGACCUCAGUUCUUGGACGCCUGGCUGGAAGUUGGCUGUCCUGCUUCCUGUGACCUUGGGGGCCUGAACAGGGCAGGGCCCAGGGUGCCCAGGCCACUGUCUCCUUCCCCACGCCUUUUCCCUUGAUCGCUCCGCCCUGUCGCUUCUACCUCCGCCCUCUACGGCUCUAAACUGCUUCCUGGGCCGGAACUGUGGCUUUUUCCUGCCCCAUUGGGGCUGGGGGCUGUCGCAGCUGUUGACAGUCAGAGGACAUGGAGCCCAGGAGGGCGACGCCUGGGGCGCACGUCUGGGGGCCUCAAGUGACUGCGGGGUCGGGGACGACCGCGGAGCUCGUGUACCAUCUAGCGGGGGCCCUGGGCACCGAGCUGCAGGAGCUGGCGCGCCGCUUCGGGCCGGAGGCGGCGGCCGGGCUCGUGCCGCUCGUGGUGCGGGCGCUGGAGCUCCUGGAAAAGGCGGCCGUGGGGCCCACCCCGGACUCGCUGCAGGUGGCGGCGCAGCAGGCCGAAGUGGAGCUGCGGCGGCUGCGGGAGGAGAACGAGCGCCUCCGCAGAGAGCUGCGCUCGGGACCGCAGGAGGACCGAGCUCUGCUGCGGCAGCUCAAGGAGGUGACCGACCGACAGCGGGACGAACUCCGGGCGCACAACCGCGACCUCCAGCAGCGUAGCCAGGAGACCGAAGCGUUGCAGGAGCAGCUGCAGCGCCUCCUGCUGGUGAACGCAGAGUUGCGGCAGAAGCUGGCAGCGGUGCAAACCCAGCUGCGCGCCGCGCGGGACCGCGAGAGCCAGCUCGAGCCGCGGCGCGAAGGGGCCGUGGAGCUGGCUCAGGGGCCGGCGCGGGACCAGGCCGAGCCGGCGACUGCUGGCGCAGGAGCCCCCGGGACCCCUGGGGACCCGGCGGAUGCCCCGCAGCAGCCAGGGCGCCCCUCCCAGGUGGGACAGUGCAACUUCAGUCGAGAGGAGCUUGAGCAGAUCCUUCAGGAGCGUAAUGAGCUCAAAGCCAACGUGUUCCUGCUAAAGGAGGAGCUGGCCUACUUCCAGCGGGAGCUGCUUGCAGACCACCGGGUCCCUGGGCUUCUCCUAGAAGCCAUGAAGGUGGCUGUCAAAAAGCAGCGGAAGAAGAUCAAAGCCAAGAUGUUAGGGACCCCAGAGGAAGCGGAAAGCAGAGCCAGCCACUCCAGCCUGGUUACCUCCUGAGCGUGCUGCCCAGACUGUCCUGCUGAGCCUGCCACUCCAGCCUGGUGACCCCCUGAGCCUGCUGUCCAGCCUGCCCUGUUGAGCCUACCAUUCUGGCUUGGUCACCCCUUGGGCCUGCUUCUCUAGUCUGGUCACUCCCUGAGCCUGAUAUCGAACCUGAAAGUCUAAAGAAUAUUGUGGCCGCGUGGUGUUACAAAAGAAAAUCAUCCCUCUUCAGACAUUGGCUUAUAGCUAUAGGCCGACUAUCAGCCAAGGUUUUUCCCUAGGGGCUCUUAGGUGGAAUAGAGGCAGCACCUCCCAUGUUAACACUUUUAAAAGGACAGACAAACAGACAACAACAACAAAUACCAAACAAGCACGCUUUCCCAAAACCACUCGGGCACAAAACCACUCGGAAGCCAAAAUGAAGACCAAAACCAAAAACCAAAGUGCUUCCAGUCCCAGCUUAGUCCGUGUCCUGCACUCGGGGGGCGCCCAACAAAUGAAGAUUCGCCAUGCAGACCUUCCCAGAUGAGCAAGGACAAGGGAACUUGGUUGUGCACACCCGGGGGACUUACCAAAAUCUGGCGAGGGCUUGGAGACUUCAAGACAGACGGAGCCCAGAGGGCUGCCAAAGUACCCAUUAUUUCCGGCCGGUCCUGUUGGAAAAGGUUAACACAAAGACAAAGACAAAAACUACGAGCCACUUACAAGAGACGUCUUCCUAAGUCCUAAACCUAGUUUCUUCCACCACCAAAGCAAAAGUGCUGUGGGCCAACGAUGUCGGGUCAGCAGCCAGUCGCUUGGGGCUGUCCCUGCGACAAGGGGCUCAGGCAGCUGCAGGACAGCUUCCAAGAGAGACCUUUAUCCAGAGGCCAGUGUGCCACAGGCAAGACGUCCAUCUGGGACAUUGUCCCAUCUGGGUCUCCAAAUUGAUACCGAACCUGAAUGACGACGAGGAUGGCUCAUGGCUCCUGCUCUCCAGCGAUAAGGGAGACCACCCCCCACCCCCUGAAUCCAGAAUACAGAGUUUCUUUGGCCUGUGGUAUCGGGGUGACACAGAGGCCCCUGAAGCCGAGACCAGCAGC